GAGGAGGGUGGGAGAGAGGCGUCGGGUUUGCUGGAGAGGUAGAGCUGGGUGUCAUCCGCGAAACAAUGAAAGUGGAUGCCAUAUUUGCGGAAGAUGCUGCCGAGGGGAAGGAGAUAAAUAAUGAAGAGGAGGGGCCCCAGGACAGAACCCUGGGGCACACCUGAAGUGACAGGGGAGGGCUGAGAGGUGAAUGAUUUGAGUUGGAUGAACUGAGUGUGGCCAGUGAGGUAUGAGUGGAACCAGAGAAGGGGGGUGUGAGAAAUGCCUAUGGAGGAGAGUCUAUGGAGGAGGAUGGGAUGAGAGAUGGUAUCAAAGGCCGCACUCAGAUCAAGGAGGAUGAGGAUGGAGAUUAGACCGGAGUCAGCUGCCAUGAGGAGGUCGUUGAUGAUCUUGAUGAGGGCUGUUUCAGUGCUAUGGAGGGGGCGGAAACCGGACUGGAACUGUUCGUACAGGCUAUUGUGGGUGAGGUGGGUGUGGAGUUGAGAGGCAACUGUUUUUUCUAAGAUUUUGGAGAUGAAUGGGAGGUGGGAAAUGGGGCGGAGGUUAUUGAAGUCGUUGGGGUCUGAACCAGGUUUUUUCAGGGUAGGACUGAUGGCUGCAGUUUUGAAGGGGGUGGGAACAGUUCCAGUCGACAGUGAGGAGUGGAUGAUGACUGAGAUGAGGGGGAGUAGAGAGGGUAGACAGGAUUUGACCAGGGAAGUGGGGAGGGGGUCCAGUUGG